UACAGAGGUCUCAAGCGUUGUUCGGAUUCAUUGGGCGUAAAGGGUGCGUAGGCGGCGCGGUAAGUCGGGUGUGAAAUCUGGAGCUUAACUCCGAAACUGCAUUCGAUACUGCCGUGCUUGAGGACUGGAGAGGAGACUGGAAUUUACGGUGUAGCGGUGAAAUGCGUAGAUAUCGUAAGGAAGACCAGUGGCGAAGGCGGGUCUCUGGACAGUUCCUGACGCUGAGGCACGAAGGCCAGGGGAGCAAACGGG
rnacentral:rRNA from 1 species